CCAGCUCCAAUAGCGUAUAUUAAAGUUGUUGCAGUUAAAAAGCUCGUAGUUGGAUCUCGGGUACUAGCAUAUGGAACGCUUAACUGCUGUUUCUAUAUGACUGGUCCUAAUUAAUCGGUUCGCCGUUUAUGCUCUUAACUGGGUGUUUACGGUAGCCGGUACGUUUACUUUGAGAAAAUUAGAGUGCUUAAAGCAGGCAUAUGGCCUUGCAUAAUGGUGCAUGGAAUAAUGGAAUAGGACCUCGGUUCUAUUUUGUUGGUUUUCGGAGCUCGAGGUAAUGAUUAAGAGGAACAGACGGGGACAUUCGUAUUGCGGCGUUAGAGGUGAAAUUCUUGGAUCGUCGCAAGACGAACUACUGCGAAAGCAUUUGUCAAGAAUGUUUUCAUUAAUCAAGAACGAAAGUUAGAGGUUCGAAGGCGAUCAGAUACCGCCCUAGUUCUAACCAUAAACGAUGCCAACCAGCGAUCCGUCGGUGUUCAUUCAAUGACUCGACGGGCAGCUUCCGGGAAACCAAAGUGCUUAGGUUCCGGGGGAAGUAUGGUUGCAAAGCUGAAACUUAAAGGAAUUGACGGAAGGGCACCACCAGGAGUGGAGCCUGCGGCUUAAUUCGACUCAAC
rnacentral:rRNA from 1 species